UUCCUGAUGUCUCCCAUUCCUA
rnacentral:miRNA from 1 species